CGGGGCGUAGCGCAGCCAGGUAGCGCACCUGCCUUGGGCGCAGGGGGUCCCCAGUUCAAAUCUGGGCGCCCCGA
rnacentral:tRNA from 2 species